UACGGGGGAGGCAAGCGUUGUUCGGAUUUACUGGCGUAAAGGGCGCGUAGGCGGUCAGCACAAGUCAGUUGUGAAAUCUCCGGGCUUAACUCGGAAAGGUCAACUGAUACUGUGCGACUAGAGUGCAGAAGGGCAACUGGAAUUCUCGGUGUAGCGGUGAAAUGCGUAGAUAUCGAGAGGAACACCUGCGGCGAAGGCGGGUGCUGGGCUGACACUGACGCUGAUGCGCGAAGCCGGGAGCGAAGCGGGA
rnacentral:rRNA from 1 species